CCCCCCCCCCCCCCCCCCCCCCCCCCCCCCCCCCCCCCCCCCCCC
rnacentral:misc_RNA from 1 species